GCCAACGGUAAUAGCAUGUUCAAUGCACCAGUUCCCAUGGAUCACUGAAGUUAAGCAACGUUUUGCGUGGUCAGUAUCCGGAUGGGUGACCAUCUGGGCAGUCGCGUGCGUGUAGAAU
rfam:Asian citrus Psyllid, Diaphorina citri - Florida Strain, whole genome shotgun sequence.